CAACUUGAUUGGAUUCAGAGACUCCUAAGCUGCCACCUGUGCUCCACAACGCCAAGAUGUUCCUGCCUUGGAGCCAGGGACCAUGGACUGAAACCUCUGAAACCGUCAGCUACAUAAACUUCUCUUCUAAAUCACAGCUCCAUGCCCAGACACAGCAAGUGGCUCAGAUGUAACCUACUAAAGCAUUCACUGAUGAAAAUGACUGAAUCCUCCAAUACAAAGCACAAUGACUACCAAUACUGUCAUCUUGAAAAUACUGGCAAUAUCUACCCACAUACAUGCAUAUAUACAUGCUGGAGAUCAAAUCUAGGAUCUCACACGCUAUGUAAGUACUCUACCACUGAAUAACACCAGUCCUAAAAUUUCUUUAUAAAUACAAAAGUUAACUAUUUACAAAGUACUUCAAAGAAAUAUUAUUU